UACGGAGGAUCCGAGCGUUAUCCGGAUUUAUUGGGUUUAAAGGGAGCGUAGGUGGAUUGUUAAGUCAGUUGUGAAAGUUUGCGGCUCAACCGUAAAAUUGCAGUUGAAACUGGCAGUCUUGAGUACAGUAGAGGUGGGCGGAAUUCGUGGUGUAGCGGUGAAAUGCGUAGAUAUUAGGAGGAACACCAGUGGCGAAGGCGGCCUGCUGGGCUUUUACUGACGCUGAGGCUCGAAAGUGUGGGGAGCAAACAGG
rnacentral:rRNA from 1 species